CAUGGAUAAUUAGAUAAGACAUUGGCUUUGCGGUUGGAAGGGAAGAAACGAAUUUCUUCAACCAAAAAUAAGAAAGAAAAGAGAAAAAGUGAUGAGUUGCCAUGUCUUGUAUGUUACCAGUGUGAAUAUGAAGCCCCGAUUUGGAAAUGGGGAAUCGCAUACCCGAAGGCCCCGCCCGUUUUCCUACACGUUUCCUUACUACUACGGGGUUAAACAUUUCCCCGGAGAUGGAGAUCGUAGCAUUUCAAAACGGCGCCGUAUACGCCCAUCUGCGGUGUCCCUGGAGCUCCCGCUUCUUCCCUUCAACAUGAACGAGGUGCUUGUUCCGUCGGAAAGCAAAACACUGCAUUUGUAUGAAGCCAGAUAUCUAGCUCUAUUGGAGGAGUCUUUAUUAAGAAAGAAACUCUUCGUGCAUUUUGUGUUGGAUCCAAUCGCCAUUGGCAAUUCAGGUGGCGAAGCAUCAUUUGCUGCUAGAUAUGGUUGUCUAGUUCUCAUAGAAAAUAUUGAACAAUUAGAUGUUGGAGCAUUGGUCUUUAUAAGGGGAAUUGGUCGUGUGAAGAUUAUAAAAUUCUUACAAGCAGAUCCUUACUUGAAAGGUGAGGUCAGACCACAGCAGGACAUGGUUCUGGACAGCACAACUAAUAUAACCUCAAAAGUUUUGCAAGUUAAGGAGGCACUUCACAGUUUGAAUACAUUGGAAAUUAAGCUGAAGGUCUCUCUCUCUUCGUAUGCUCCAAAAGGGGCACCAUUGCAGACUUCUUGUUUGAACUCUCUAACGUGGGCUGAAAAUGAGCUAUCCCUAGAAUGUGACAAAGAUUUUGUCCCAUCGUCUGCCGAGCGUGUAUCCUUUGCAGCAUUUCAGCCUGUCUCUGGAUCGACUCAAUCUGAACUGCUAAAGUUGCAGGAAGAGAAGUUGAAGGCAAUGAAUCUGAAGGAUACAGCGCAACGGUUAGAUAAUUCAGUAGAACUAAUCAAAGAGAAUAUCUCUAUGGUUGCAGCCAAGCUUGCUAUUCAGUCAUUGGAGAUGCAGUGAGCUAUGUUAGAGAGGGAGAGAAGGAAGUCUAUGCAGAUGCAGCCCAUGCGGACGAAAGUGCUAUCCUCCCACCAAUUGUUGAUCAGGUUGCAAAUGGAUGGGAAUGGUGGUGGAAAGGGGUGUACAUGGACAGGGUCUGAGGCUCUGAAUAAAACCUCUAAAAGAUUCUUUAGCUUCUUAAGAAAUGCAGCUUAAAAGGCAUCUAAUUUCCCCAAUCAAAG